rnacentral:rRNA from 1 species
GUGACAGCAGCCGCGGUAAUACGUAGGUGGCAAGCGUUGUCCGGAAUUAUUGGGCGUAAAGCGCGCGCAGGUGGUUCCAAAAGUCUGACGUGAAAGCCCCCGGCUCAACCGGGGAGGGUCAUUGAAACUGGGGAACUUGAGUGCAGGAGAGGAAAGUGGAAUUCCACGUGUAGCGGUGAAAUGCGUAGAUAUGUGGAGGAACACCAGUGGCGAAGGCGACUUUCUGGCCUGUAACUGACACUGAGGCGCGAAAGCGUGGGGAGCAAACAGGAUUAGAUACCCGGGUAGUCC